rnacentral:rRNA from 1 species
AGGGGUGGAGGGGGGAAUCUUGCCUUUGAAAUUGCCCUGAUGUGGGGGAUCACCAUUGGAAACCAUGGCUAGUCCCCCGACAAGCCUACGGUCCAAAGAGGGGGACCUUCGGGCCUCUCGCGUCAUGAUAUGCCUAGGUGGGAUUAGCUAUUUGGUGAGGUAAAGGCUCACCUAGGCGACGAUGCCUAGCUGGUCUGAGAGGAUGAUCAGCCACACUGGAACUGAGACACGGGCCAGACUCCUACAGGAGGCAGCUGGGGGAAUAUUGCACAAUGGGCGCAAGCCUGAUGCAACCAUGCCGCGUGUGUGAAGAAGGCCUUCGGGUUGUAAAAAACUUUCAGUCGUGAGGAAGGUAGUGUAGUUAAUAGCUGCAUUAUUUGACGUUAGCGACAGAAGAAGCACCGGCCUAACUCCGUGCCAGCAGCCGCGGUAAUACGGAGGGUGCGAGCGUUAAUCGCGAAUUACUGGGCGUAAAGCGCAUGCAUGUGGUUUGCCCGGGCAGAUGUGAAAGCCCGGGGUUCAACCUGGGAAUUGCAUUUGAAACUGGAGGGGAGUGGAACUGUAGAGGG